rnacentral:lncRNA from 1 species
GGAAGACUCUCCUCGCCCGAGCCUGUGCUGCUCAGACCAAGGCCACCUUCUUGAAGCUGGCAGGCCCUCAGCUGGUGCAGAUGUUUAUUGGAGAUGGCGCCAAGCUGGUCCGUGAUGCUUUUGCCCUGGCCAAGGAGAAGGCACCAUCUAUUAUCUUUAUAGAUGAGUUGGAUGCCAUUGGCACCAAGCGGUAAGGGAGUUCCGGGGACUUGCAAGGGUUGUUGGGGUGAGGUGUGAGCUAGGAGCUCACCUCCCAGCUAUGUUACAUCCCAGUUCUCUCCCAUUCGGUCCCUCCCCUGGUUAGUAACACUUCUGUUUUUCUGCCUCCUAAAUUCCUCAUAGCUGACAGCUUGCUCUCAAGAGAGAAAACUGGCACCUCUCGUUUCAAAGUCUGUCAUCACACACUACUAAAAAGCACCUCUAGGCCACCCUAUUGCUUCUUAGCACAAAUGCUAGAUCUGUAUAGCCUGUUCUUUCAGUCUCACUCUACCCACUCCCAACCCAGGCCGCCUCCCAGUACCCGAUUGGUUUUCAGCUCUUUCUAUUCACUGAGUGGUUGCCUGGCCCUUGUUUAUAGACUCAAGAACCCCUGCUUGGGGUUGGCUGUCUGGGUUCCUGGUUGUAGAUAUUUCUGGGUAAGUUCUGGGGAUCAUGUAUUGCUCAGAGCCACAGCCCUAGCCUGGCUGUUUGUGCUCACUGUUUGUCACUAGCCCAGCACUGAUCCCAGAAGCCUCUGCAAGCUUUGAAU